rnacentral:rRNA from 1 species
UUGCAUCGACGACAUGCUGAUUCGCGAUUACUAGCGAUUCCGACUUCAUGGAGGCGAGUUGCAGACUGCAAUCCGGACUAGAAUCGGGUUUUUGGGAUUGGCUCCCCCUCGCGGCUUGGCUACCCUUUGUACCGGCCAUUGUAGCACGUGUGUAGCCCUGGGCGUGGGGGCAUGAUGACUUGACGUCAUCCCCACCUUCCUCCGGUUUGUCACCGGCAGUCUCCUUAAAGUGCCCACCCUAACGUGCUGGGUCAAAGGAAAAGGGUUGCGCUCGUUGCGGGACUUACCCCAACAUCUCAAGACCAGAGCUGACCACCGCCAUGCACCACCUGUUUCCGAGUUCCCAAAGGCACCAACCCUUCUCGGAAAAUUUCUAAACAUGUCAAGGCCGGAAGCUUUC